rnacentral:lncRNA from 1 species
CAAAUUUGUAUAAUAUUAUUAAUUCGUAAUUUGGAAAAAGAAAAAAAGAGUAAUAAAAAUAUAGAACACGAACAAACUGUACAUAAUGUACAUAAUUCUUUUGAUUUUCCUCGUUCAGUUAAUUCUGUUGAAUAUAAUAAAAAAAAGGAAGAGUCACAUAAAACCGAAUGUACAGAAAAAGAUACUACAACUUCAUCACAACCAAAAAUAAACAAAUUACAAAUAAAUAGAUUAGAAAUAAACACACCUACGAAUUUUAACAAUAAUUUUAACAAAAUUAAUGAUGAAUUUCAAUUAAUUUUAUUAUAUAUUUCUUUAUGUUAUUAUAAUAUAUAUUUAUUAAGUGAUAAUGAUAAUUAUUUUUUAUAUGUAAGUUUACUUUUAUUUUUAUACAAUUUUACACAUUUUAAAAAUAAAAAAAUAACACACCACUUUUAUUUUAAUGAAAACGAAUGGGUAGAGUAUGUUAUAUGUGUACCUCACUUUUUAUUAGAUAUAUGUAAAAAAAUAAGUAUAAUUUAUAAAAAAAAAAAUUAUAUAUAUACUUCUUUAUUCUUUUUAACAUACUGUUACUUUUUUUAUAAAUGUACUAAAAAAUUGGGUAACACAAAUGAAAGUUGUGACGAUAAAAGUUAUAAUAAUAAGAACAAUAAUAAUUUAUAUGAACAAAAAAAGCAGGUAGAUAUAGAAUUUAUAACAAUUUUUCAAAACAUUAGUGAUAUAUUUAUACAAUUAAAACGUUAUACCUUAUCUAAUUUUUUAGUAUUAAAAUGUAUUGAUUUGCAUUUACAAAAAUUAGAGAACGACAUCGAAAGAAUAAGAGCAAAACAUAAAUCAACAGAAAAAAAAAUAAAUAGUAACAAAGUUUUGAGUGAUAAUAAUAAUGUUAAUAUUAUUAAUGAAAAAAGGGAUAAUAUUGUUAAUGAAAAAUGUCAGUUUACAACUGUAUUAGGAGAAGAUGUAUCGGUUAAUGAUACAUUAAACAAAAUUAUCGAAACGUCUUUUUCUCUUUAUAACAAUAUAAUU